CCUACGGGAGGCAGCAGUGAGGAAUAUUGGUCAAUGGGCGCGAGCCUGAACCAGCCAAGUCGCGUGAGGGAAGACGGUCCUAUGGAUUGUAAACCUCUUUUGUCGGGGAGCAAAAGACGCCACGCGUGGCGUUUCGCGAGUACCCGAAGAAAAAGCAUCGGCUAACUCCGUGCCAGCAGCCGCGGUAAUACGGAGGAUGCGAGCGUUAUCCGGAUUUAUUGGGUUUAAGGGGGGCGCAGGGGGAAGAUCAAGUCGGCGGGAAAAUUUGGGGGCUCAACCUCUUCGAGCCGUUGAAACUGGUUGUCUUGAGUGAGCGAGAGGUAGGCGGAAUGCGUGGUGUAGCGGUGAAAUGCAUAGAUAUCACGCAGAACUCCGAUUGCGAAGGCAGCAUACCGGCGCUCAACUGACGCUCAUGCACGAAAGUGUGGGUAUCGAACAGGAUUAGAUACCCUAGUAGUC
rnacentral:rRNA from 1 species